UACGAAGGGGGCUAGCGUUGCUCGGAAUCACUGGGCGUAAGGGGUGCGUAUGCGGGUCUUUAAGUCAGGGGUGAAAUCCUGGAGCUCAACUCCAGAACUGCCUUUGAUACUGAAGAUCUUGAGUUCGGGAGAGGUGAGUGGAACUGCGAGUGUAGAGGUGAAAUUCGUAGAUAUUCGCAAGAACACCAGUGGCGAAGGCGGCUCACUGGCCCGAUACUGACGCUGAGGCACGAAAGCGUGGGGAGCAAACAGG
rnacentral:rRNA from 1 species